rnacentral:rRNA from 1 species
UGUAGUCAUAUGCUUGUCUCAAAGAUUAAGCCAUGCAUGUCUAAGUAUAAGCAAUCAUACUGUGAAACUGCGAAUGGCUCAUUAAAUCAGUUAUCGUUUAUUUGAUAGUACCUUUACCUGGAUAACCGUGGUAAUUCUAGAGCUAAUACAUGCUAAAAACCUCGACUUCGGAAGGGGUGUAUUUAUUAGAUAAAAAACCAAUGCCCUUCGGGGCUCCUUGGUGAUUCAUAAUAACUUAACGAAUCGCAUGGCCUUGCGCCGGCGAUGGUUCAUUCAAAUUUCUGCCCUAUCAACUUUCGAUGGUAAGAUAGUGGCUUACCACGGUCUCAACGGGUAACGGGGAAUUAGGGUUCUAUUCCGGAGAGGGAGCCUGAGAAACGGCUACCACAUCCAAGGAAGGCAGCAGGCGCGCAAAUUACCCAAUCCCAAUUCGGGGAGGUAGUGACAAUAAAUACUGAUACGGGGCUCUUUCGGGUCUCGUAAUUGGAAUGAGUACAAUCUAAAUCCCUUAACGAGGAACAAUUGGAGGGCAAGUCUGGUAAUCG